rnacentral:rRNA from 1 species
UACGUAGGGUGCGAGCGUUGUCCGGAAUUAUGGGGCGGAAAGAGCUUGUAGGCGGUUUGUCGCGUCUGCCGUGAAAAUCCGGGGCUCAACCCCGGACUUGCGGUGGGUACGGGCAGACUAGAGUGUGGUAGGGGAGACUGGAAUUCCUGGUGUAGCGGUGAAAUGCGCAGAUAUCAGGAGGAACACCGAUGGCGAAGGCAGGUCUCUGGGCCACUACUGACGCUGAGAAGCGAAAGCGUGGGGAGCGAACAGG